rnacentral:rRNA from 1 species
AGUGAACGCUGGCGGUAGGCCUAACACAUGCAAGUCGAACGGCAGCACAGUAAGAGCUUGCUCUUACGGGUGGCGAGUGGCGGACGGGUGAGGAAUACAUCGUAAUCUACUUUUUCGUGGGGGAUAACGUAGGGAAACUUACGCUCAUACCGCAUACGCCCUACGGGUGAAAGCAGGGGAUCUUCGGACCUUGCGCGAUUGAAUGAGCCGCUGUCGGAUUAGCUAGUUGGCGGGGUAAAGGCCCACCAAGGCGACGAUCCGUAGCUGGUCUGAGAGGAUGAUCAGCCACACUGGAACUGAGACACGGUACAGACUCCUACGGGAGGCAGCAGUGGGUAAUAUUGGACAAUGGGCGCAGCCUGAUCCAGCCAUACCGCGUGGGUGAAGAAGGCCUUCGGGUUGUAAAGCCCUUUUGUUGGGAAAGAAAAGCAGCAGGUUAAUACCCCGCUGUUCUGACGGUACCCAAAGAAUAAGCACCGGCUAACUUCGUG